CCUACGGGAGGCUGCAGUGAGGAAUAUUGGUCAAUGGGCGCGAGCCUGAACCAGCCAAGUAGCGUGAAGGAUGACUGCCCUACGGGUUGUAAACUUCUUUUAUAAAGGAAUAAAGUGAGGCACGUGUGCACUUUUGUACGUACUUUAUGAAUAAUGAUCGGCUAACUCCGUGCCAGCAGCCGCGGUAAUACGGAGGAUCCGAGCGUUAUCCGGAUUUAUUGGGUUUAAAGGGAGCGUAGAUGGGUUGUUAAGUCAGAUGUGAAAGUUUGCGGCUCAACCGUAAAAUUGCAAUUGAUACUGGCAUGCUUGAGUGCAGUUGAGGUAGGCGGAAUUCGUGGUGUAGCGGUGAAAUGCUUAGAUAUCACGAAGAACUCCGAUUGCGAAGGCAGCUUACUAAACUGCCACUGACAUUGAUGCUCGAAAGUGUGGGUAUCAAACAGGAUUAGAUACCCGGGUAGUC
rnacentral:rRNA from 1 species